UACUACGGCCAUGCCACCCUGAAUGUGCCCGAUCUUGUCUGAUCUCAGAAGCUAAGCAGGGUCGGGCUUGGUUAGUACUUGGAUGGGAGAGCACCUUGGAAUACCAGGUGCUGUAGGCG
rnacentral:rRNA from 1 species